CGCAUCUGUGCAUGCAGCAUAUCAAUAAGCGGAGGAAAAGAAACUAACAAGGAUUCCCCUAGUAACGGCGAGUGAAGCGGGAAGAGCUCAAAUUUGAAAUCUUAAAGGGUUUCCCUUUACGAAUUGUAGUUUAAAGAAGUGUUUUCUGUUGAGGUUUUGGUAAAAGUUCUUUGGAAUAGGACAUCAUAGAGGGUGAGAAUCCCGUAUUUGACCUUUACUUUCAACUUUGUGAUACACUUUCAAAGAGUCGGAUUGUUUGGGAAUGCAGUCCAAAAUGGGUGGUAAAUUUCAUCUAAAGCUAAAUAUUGGCGAGAGACCGAUAGCGAACAAGUACCGUGAGGGAGAGAUGAAAAGAACUUUGAAAAGAGAGUUAAACAGUACGUGAAAUUUGUCAAAAGGGAAGCGUUUGACACCAGUGUUGUUUUUCUGAAAAUCAAUUAAAGAACUGUUUAUGCUAAGCUGUUUAGACUUUAUCAGCUAAUCUGUUUAGUUUCGAGCUUUUCUUUAAUGCACUUUUCAGUUAACAAGUCAACAUCAAUUUCUUCUGCUGUAAAAAAGCUUGAGGAAGGUGGCUUGAGAUUCGUCUUAAGUGUUUAUAGCCUCUUGCCUAUGCAGUCGGAGAGAUUGAGGUCUGCAGCGUAGAUCCUUCGGGGCUAAAUGCAUUUGUGCUAAGUUAUAGCAUUUUAUAGACAACUUGUUGACUAUGAUUUGUCUUGUAGCUUACUCGCUUAUGUUAUUUUACCUACGCUUAGGAUGUUGACGAGACUGUCGAUCUC
rnacentral:rRNA from 1 species